rnacentral:piRNA from 1 species
UNUUCAGGGAAUUACAGCAUGCUGCUUU